rnacentral:rRNA from 1 species
GAACAUAAGAGUUUGAUCCUGGCUCAGAUUGAACGCUGGCGGCAUGCUUUACACAUGCAAGUCGGACGGCAGCACAGAGAAGCUUGCUUCUUGGGUGGCGAGUGGCGAACGGGUGAGUAACAUAUCGGAACGUACCGAGUAGUGGGGGAUAACUGAUCGAAAGAUCAGCUAAUACCGCAUACGUCUUGAGAGGGAAAGCAGGGGACCUUCGGGCCUUGCGCUAUUCGAGCGGCCGAUAUCUGAUUAGCUGGUUGGUGGGGUAAAGGCUCACCAAGGCGACGAUCAGUAGCGGGUCUGAGAGGAUGAUCCGCCACACUGGGACUGAGACACGGCCCAGACUCCUACGGGAGGCAGCAGUGGGGAAUUUUGGACAAUGGGCGCAAGCCUGAUCCAGCCAUGCCGCGUGUCUGAAGAAGGCCUUCGGGUUGUAAAGGACUUUUGUCAGGGAAGAAAAGGCUGUUGCUAAUAUCAGCGGCUGAUGACGGUACCUGAAGAAUAAGCACCGGCUAACUACGUGCCAGCAGCCGCGGUAAUACGUAGGGUGCGAGCGUUAAUCGGAAUUACUGGGCGUAAAGCGGGCGCAGACGGUUACUUAAGCAGGAUGUGAAAUCCCCGGGCUCAACCCGGGAACUGCGUUCUGAACUGGGUGACUCGAGUGUGUCAGAGGGAGGUAGAAUUCCACGUGUAGCAGUGAAAUGCGUAGAGAUGUGGAGGAAUACCGAUGGCGAAGGCAGCCUCCUGGGAUAACACUGACGUUCAUGCCCGAAAGCGUGGGUAGCAAACAGGAUUAGAUACCCUGGUAGUCCACGCCCUAAACGAUGUCAAUUAGCUGUUGGGCAACUUGAUUGCUUGGUAGCGUAGCUAACGCGUGAAAUUGACCGCCUGGGGAGUACGGUCGCAAGAUUAAAACUCAAAGGAAUUGACGGGGACCCGCACAAGCGGUGGAUGAUGUGGAUUAAUUCGAUGCAACGCGAAGAACCUUACCUGGUCUUGACAUGUACGGAAUCCUCCAGAGACGGAGGAGUGCCUUCGGGAGCCGUAACACAGGUGCUGCAUGGCUGUCGUCAGCUCGUGUCGUGAGAUGUUGGGUUAAGUCCCGCAACGAGCGCAACCCUUGUCAUUAGUUGCCAUCAUUCAGUUGGGCACUCUAAUGAGACUGCCGGUGACAAGCCGGAGGAAGGUGGGGAUGACGUCAAGUCCUCAUGGCCCUUAUGACCAGGGCUUCACACGUCAUACAAUGGUCGGUACAGAGGGUAGCCAAGCCGCGAGGCGGAGCCAAUCUCACAAAACCGAUCGUAGUCCGGAUUGCACUCUGCAACUCGAGUGCAUGAAGUCGGAAUCGCUAGUAAUCGCAGGUCAGCAUACUGCGGUGAAUACGUUCCCGGGUCUUGUACACACCGCCCGUCACACCAUGGGAGUGGGGGAUACCAGAAGUAGGUAGGAUAACCGCAAGGGGUCCGCUUACCACGGUAUGCUUCAUGACUGGGGUGAAGUCGUAACAAGGUAGCCGUAGGGGAACCUGCGGCUGGAUCACCUCCUUU